UACAUUUCGACUUAAUUCUUUAAUUGCGCCUCGAUAAACUCCUAAUCUGCUGUUUAUUAAUAUUUAAGGUAGUUGUUAUGUUUAGGAAUAAGGGGAAGGAUCUAAAAUAUGGACAUUAAUAUGCGUUUUAUAUACUAAUAAACAGCUAAUAUACUAUUAACUAGUUGAGAAUUGAUUCUUAAACUAAAGUGUUAUUUAUUGUAUAUUUUAUUUUAUAUAACGCAUAAAAUGUGUGGUUGGCUGAUAUAAUAAAGCAAUAAAAUGUGACCAACUUCAGUAUCCUGUUAAUCAAAAAUACAAAUGGGGACACGUAUCUAGUUCAGUCAUGAAACUCUAGAUAAGUCCUGCUAGGAAGCAAAUCAUCGCUACGUGGCAUAAGCUGACUGACUAGCUCAACAUCUAAAUAGUUUGUUGUAAUCGUCUUGAAGCACCCUCUACCUCCCCCAGCUCCCCCUGUUUAGAUCAGCGUAGCAAAACUACCCCCCAAGAGCAAAUACAUUGUCCCUGUAAAAACAGUUCAAUCCACGGUUUGAGCCUUUUUCGUGUCUGAAAUGUCUUUCCAAACCGACCUGGUCUUGUUGCGUUAAGAUCUUCCCUGGUUCUUUUUUUAUUCGGCUCCUUCUGGAGCAAGCUAAACCACCUGUUACCAUCAACACAUCAACACAGAAAUUUCAUCCUUAAGGAUUAUAGAGGUGCUGCGGUCAAAACCCCCUUUACUGCCCUCAAACGCCACCCAGCUAUCAAGCUAUAUGGCGCGUCUUUCAUUAGCCACGGAUCUUGAAUGAUCCUGGUAGAUUUAGCAUAUGUCAAAACAACUCAUGUAGCGUUUACAGGCAGUUCAUCCCGGGCUUAUUCACUCAGCAUCAGCUCUAUUUAGCUUCUGAGUAAAUGCUGAGUAAAUGCCUCACAUGAACGAGACCUCGCUGGUCAUCUCAUGCAUCUGCCUCAACAGGCCUCUGGAGGCGAACUUGUCUGACAGUGAUCCCCGUGCACAUGUGUGAGAAGCCGUCUUCGGUUACCAAGUUUAUUUUUAGCCCGUUAACUGCCUCAAUCCAACUCUGGGGAAUGCCAUAAGGGCACAAGGCUUUUCCUCCUUCUCCUCCCGUCCCGGUCACUCUCUUUCUCUCUCUCUCUCUCCUCUGAGAGGAGAUAGCAGCUUCUCCUACAUUCUUCCUCAAAGGACUGGAGCAAUGAACGAUAGCCCCUUGCAAGUGCUGACUUUGCCUACUUCUCCAUACCUUGACCAGAGGCCCGGUAUCAACGGCCUGAGGAAGAAGACCCGCGUUUUCCAAUCUGAAAAGAACUACCUGAACAACUUCAUUCAAUGCAUCUUCUCCUCCAUCGACCUGAGGGACAGGCAGGGCUCCACCGUGGUUGUGGGUGGAGAUGGACGCUACUUCAAUUCGAAUGCCAUUCAGGUCAUAGCGCAGAUGGCUGCCGCUAAUGGGGUGGGUCGUGUUGUGAUCGGUCAGAAUGGCAUCAUGUCGACGCCGGCUGUGUCGUGUGUGAUCAGGAAGAUCAAGGCGAUUGGUGGCAUCAUUCUCACGGCCAGUCACAACCCUGGAGGACCUGACGGAGACUUCGGCAUCAAAUUCAAUACCGCCAAUGGAGGUCCAGCACCAGAGGCUGCCACGAAUAAAAUCUUCCAGCUGAGCAGAACCGUAGAGGAGUUUGCCAUCUGUCCUGAGCUCAGAGUUGAUCUGGGGACUAUCGGCAAGCAGUCCUUCGACCUGGAGAACAAAUUUAAACCUUUUACAGUGGAAAUUGUGGAUCCAGUCGAAUCCUACGCCAACUCGCUGAGGAACAUCUUCGAUUUCGCUGUUCUCAAGGAGCUUCUGUCCGGAGACAACCACAUACAGAUCCGUUUAGAUGCCAUGCAUGGAGUAAUUGGGCCGUAUGUGAAGAAGAUCCUGUGUGAGGAGCUGGGCUCCCCCGCCAAUUCAGCCAUCAACUGCGUACCCCUGGAGGACUUCGGAGGUGGCCACCCAGACCCCAACUUGACCCACGCCACCGACCUGGUUGAGACGAUGAAGAGCGGACAGUAUGACUUCGGAGCUGCUUUCGAUGGUGACGGUGACCGUAAUAUGAUCCUGGGAAAGCACGGGUUCUUCGUGAACCCCUCAGACUCAGUUGCCGUCAUCGCCGCGAACAUCUUCUGCAUUCCUUACUUCCAGCACACAGGAGUAAGAGGCUUUGCUAGGAGUAUGCCCACCAGUGCCGCUCUGGACAUGGUGGCCAGAGCCACCAAGAUCCAGCUGUAUGAGACCCCCACCGGAUGGAGGUAUUUUGGGAGCUUGAUGGACGCAGGACGCCUCUCGCUGUGCGGGGAGGAAAGUUUUGGCACAGGAUCGGAUUAUAUUCGAGAGAAGGAUGGGCUCUGGGCAGUGCUAGCAUGGCUUUCCAUCCUAGCGGCCAGGAGACAAAGUGUAGAAGACAUCAUGACGGACCACUGGAGAACCUACGGGAGGAACUACUACACCAGAUUUGACUAUGAGGAAGUGGAUUUAGAUGCGGCUGUGGAGAUGAUGCUGGAUCUGGAGCUGAUGGUUUCAGACAGGGCUUUCAUUGGGCAAGUGUUUAGCGCGGGGGAAAAGAAAUACCAGGUGGAGGCGACCGACAAUUUUGAGUACAGCGACCCUGUGGACGGAACCAUUUCGAGGAACCAGGGUUUGCGGAUCAUUUUUAAAGGAGGUUCUCGUAUAAUCUUUCGCCUCAGUGGGAGCGAUAGCUUCGGAGCCACAGUUCGUCUGUAUAUCGACAGCUAUGAGAAAGACGCAAACAAGCUCUUUCAGGACCCUCAGGUGGCGCUGGGGGAGCUCGUCACCAUUGCCCUUCAGGUUUCACAGAUACACGAAAGAACCGGACGAAGAGGCCCUACUGUUAUUACAUGAUUAUAUUAAAUGUCAUAUUUACAUUUUUUUAUAUAUAAAUAUUGCUAUCAGCAAAACGUGUAACUGCAGAAUCAAAGAGAUAGCACGUGAGCAAACGUUCUCCAAUCCUUCGCGACUGCUUAGCUUAUGAAUAUUAAUCACGUAACGUGACGCUCCCGGAAGGUUACCAAGCAACGCGCCCACGACGCAAUUAAUAUUCAUGAGCAAACUACUGACUGAAGUUGUACUCGUAAACGUGCUGCUCUGAUGAAACUGGAGCGUAAUAUUCUGCCCAAAGUAAUUGUGAAAUGAGACGCAGCUGUGACUGACAGGCCACAUGCACAUCAUGUUAUGAUGAAGUGGCCUAAUUCAUGCUUAUUUUAAAUAGUUCAAGCUUAAGAAAUCAGUGACAAUGGAAGCUUGUGACUUGCUGCCCUGGUCUCCAUCAACACAAGUCAUGAAAAACGAGCAGAAACUGGAGGGUAAGAAUAUCCCACCAACUCCACCUUUCACAUCAUUACAACUAACAUUUAAACAACAUCAUAUCAUCACAAAAAUAUGUUCAAAUCAGAUGCUAUUGAAGGUGUGGGGCUGAAGACAAGGCAGAGGCAAGACUAAUCUUCACUCUUUUACCGUAAGGUUUUUUUAAAUCGAUAUCAUCCAAAUAUAGGCUUUGUAAACAAACCAGCUCUUCUCCUUUACAAGACAAGUGUGUAGAAUUGCCUUUGAGGGGUAUCUCAGCAAAUGGAUGAAAAUUGCCACCACUAACCCAGAACUUCCGAAGGGAAAUGAAUAUGAAUUCAUGAACUGCAGGGACGGAGGUGCAGUCUGGUCAAACGGAGGUCACACAGGUCAUCUUAUUCAAGCACAGCACAACAUGUCAGUUGGUGUUUCUCAUUUUUAUUCAAUACAUAUAAGCUCAGUUAAAAAAUAAUGUAAAAAUGCAGUUUAAAUGAAUUUUAAUUGACAAGAAGUCAAAAUUAUUAGAAUGUCCUAAAAAAAAAAAAGUUUAAUUAUAAUAAUGACUUAGUAUCUCAUAAUGUGCACCUUUUUUAUUUAACCUUUAUCCUUCGACUUAUUAAUAAUUGAUUUACCAAAGCAUUCAAUAUGAUGGAAUGUGCUUCCAUGCAAGGACUCAUUAAAACACCCUUAUUAUGGAUUUCUGAAAAUGAGCUUUCAUGCGGUGCGUAACACAGCUUUAAACAUCCUGCAAAGUUUACUAUUUAAAAGUGCACUGUAUCUAAAAUUAAGGUCUUUCUAAAGAAUCAGGAGGGCCACUGUCUUGCAGAGUUUUGCUCCAGUCCUGCCUGUAACUUACUAGUUAUCCUGAACAGCUUGAUUAGCUCGAGAACCAGGGUUGAGAAAGCCUGCUCUAAACUUUUUACGGUCAUUAUAUGCAGCCCUGUUCAGAAACGCACCAAAGCAAAACAGACACGGGUGGAACGCAUGAGACGACUCUACACGCAGCGCAAAGCUCCAGGUGAUUCCUCCUGUAGACGCAUGUGCAGUGCGUUCUUUCAGAGACCUCACCUCACCUCAGUUUCUCCUGGGUCC